rnacentral:rRNA from 1 species
CAGUAGCCACGGGAAUACGUAGGUGGCAAGCGUUGUCCGGAAUUAUUGGGCGUAAAGGGCUCGCAGGCGGUUUCUUAAGUCUGAUGUGAAAGCCCCCGGCUCAACCGGGGAGGGUCAUUGGAAACUGGGAAACUUGAGUGCAGAAGAGGAGAGUGGAAUUCCACGUGUAGCGGUGAAAUGCGUAGAGAUGUGGAGGAACACCAGUGGCGAAGGCGACUCUCUGGUCUGUAACUGACGCUGAGGAGCGAAAGCGUGGGGAGCGGACAGGAUUAGAUACCCCGGUAGUCCCUGUCUCUUAUAC